GAUUGAACGCUGGCGGUAUGCUUAACACAUGCAAGUCGAACGGAAACGAUACUAGCUUGCUAGUAGGCGUCGAGUGGCGGACGGGUGAGUAACGCGUAGGAAUCUACCUGAUAGUGGGGGAUAGCCCGAAGAAAUUCGGAUUAAUACCGCAUAAUCUAUUCGUAGUAAAGUGGGGGACUUUCGAGCCUCACGCUAUCAGAUGAGCCUGCGUAAGAUUAGCUAGUUGGUAGGGUAAAAGCCUACCAAGGCGACGAUCUUUAGCUGGUCUGAGAGGAUGAUCAGCCACAUCGGGACUGAGACACGGCCCGAACUCCUACGGGAGGCAGCAGUGGGGAAUAUUGGACAAUGGGGGCAACCCUGAUCCAGCAAUACCGCGUGUGUGAAGAAGGCCUGAGGGUUGUAAAGCACUUUCAAUUGUGAAGAAAAGCUAGUGGUUAAUAGUCAUUAGCCUUGACGUUAACUUUAGAAGAAGCACCGGCUAACUCCGUGCCAGCAGCCGCGGUAAUACGGAGGGUGCAAGCGUUAAUCGGAAUUACUGGGCGUAAAGCGUGCGUAGGCGGUUUAUUAAGUCAGAUGUGAAAGCCCCGGGCUUAACCUGGGAACUGCAUUUGAAACUGGUCAACUAGAGUAUGGUAGAGGAAAGUGGAAUUUCUGGUGUAGCGGUGAAAUGCGUAGAUAUCAGAAGGGAACAUCAAUGGCCGAAGGCAACUUUCUGGACCAAUACUGACGCUGAGGUACGAAAGCGUGGGUAGCAAACAGGAUUAGAUACCUGGUAGUCCACGCCGUAAACGAUGAUAACUAGCCGUUGGGGGGAUUUACCCCUUUAGUGGCGAAGCUAACGCGUUAAGUUAUCCGCCUGGGGAGUACGGCCGCAAGGUUAAAACUCAAAGGAAUUGACGGGGACCCGCACAAGCGGUGGAGCAUGUGGUUUAAUUCGAUGCAACGCGAAGAACCUUACCUGGUCUUGACAUCCUGAGAACUUUCUAGAAAUAGAUUGGUGCCUUCGGGAACUCAGUGACAGGUGCUGCAUGGCUGUCGUCAGCUCGUGUCGUGAGAUGUUGGGUUAAGUCCCGUAACGAGCGCAACCCCUAUCCUUAUUUGCCAGCACAUCAUGGUGGGAACUAUAAGGAGACUGCCGGUGAUAAACCGGAGGAAGGCGGGGACGACGUCAAGUCAUCAUGGCCCUUAUGGGUAGGGCUACACACGUGCUACAAUGGGAAGGACAAAGAGCCGCGAAGCCGCGAGGUGUAGCUAAUCUCAGAAACCUUUUCGUAGUCCGGAUUGGAGUCUGCAACUCGACUCCAUGAAGUCGGAAUCGCUAGUAAUCGUAGAUCAGAAUGCUACGGUGAAUACGUUCCCGGGUCUUGUACACACCG
rnacentral:rRNA from 1 species